AGUGAACGCUGGCGGUAGGCCUAACACAUGCAAGUCGAACGGCAGCACAGUAAGAGCUUGCUCUUACGGGUGGCGAGUGGCGGACGGGUGAGGAAUACAUCGGAAUCUACUUUUUCGUGGGGGAUAACGUAGGGAAACUUACGCUAAUACCGCAUACGACCUACGGGUGAAAGCAGGGGAUCUUCGGAACUUGCUCGAUUGAAUGAGCCGAUGUCGGAUUAGCUAGUUGGCGGGGUAAAGGCCCUCCAAGGCGACGAUCCGUAGCUGGUCUGAGAGGAUGAUCAGCCACACUGGAACUGAGACACGGGCCAGACUCCUACGGGAGGCAGCAGUGGGGAAUAUUGGACAAUGGGCGCAAGCCUGAUCCAGCCAUACCGCGUGGGUGAAGAAGGCCUUCGGGUUGUAAAGCCCUUUUGUUGGGAAAGAAAAGCAGCAGGUUAAUACCCCGCUGUUCUGACGGUACCCAAAGAAUAAGCACCGGCUAACUUCGUG
rnacentral:rRNA from 1 species